UUAAUUAUAGUUUUUGUUACAGGUUGUGAAAUGUGAGUUGUCGGUUGUCCCUACAAGGGAAUUACCAUCUGAGGAAUGUCCAACCUAGCUCUCUAGUUCCCAAUCAGCUACAUUUUAAUCCUGCUACUGUGAAAAUGUUGAGCAACCUGAAGUAUGAAAGCAAUGCGCGGUUCGUGAGGUGGUCAACCAUGUGCAGUAAGCUUUCGGAUCAAAGCGAAGCUGAGAAUAGGGUGUUAGUUGAUGGAAAAUUGAUAACCAAUAGAGGCACACAUCCAUGGAGUUGUCGCUUGCGAUUGUUGGGAAGCUAUUUGGCUACGAAAAGGCAUUGGAUCUUGCUGUCAAUGAGAACUUUAAAUAGACAUAUAACUAUUAUGUAGGCAUUGUACUUUUGUCAAUGGAUUAAAAUGAAUGAUUGUAUUUGAUUGAAUGAAUGAAUGAUUAUAUUUGAUUGAAUGAAUAAAUGACUUAGCCAUGAAGUAUUUAUCUAUAUUAGCUUAUAUGAGUUGAUCUAUCAGGUCAUGUACUACAAUGGUAAGAGAUGCCAUUAUUAUAUUUUCUUUAAUUAUUUUUUAAAAAAAUAGGCAGUAGCUAUGGCUAUUAACCGUAGCCCUUUAUUUGGAAA